AUCCUGGCUCAGGAUGAACGCUAGCGGCAGGCUUAACACAUGCAAGUCGAGGGGUAUAUUUCUUCGGAGAUAGAGACCGGCGCACGGGUGCGUAACGCGUAUGCAAUCUACCUUUUACAGAGGGAUAGCCCAGAGAAAUUUGGAUUAAUACCUCAUAGUAUAAUGACUCGGCAUCGAGAUAUUAUUAAAGUCACAACGGUAAAAGAUGAGCAUGCGUCCCAUUAGCUAGUUGGUAAGGUAACGGCUUACCAAGGCUACGAUGGGUAGGGGUCCUGAGAGGGAGAUCCCCCACACUGGUACUGAGACACGGACCAGACUCCUACGGGAGGCAGCAGUGAGGAAUAUUGGACAAUGGGCGCAAGCCUGAUCCAGCCAUGCCGCGUGCAGGAUGACGGUCCUAUGGAUUGUAAACUGCUUUUAUACGAGAAGAAACACUNCCUUCGUGAAGGAGCUUGACGGUAUCGUAA
rnacentral:rRNA from 1 species